CCAGAUUGUCCCACACUAUAUAAAGCGACCGACAGCGUAUUCUCAAUCUCUUAAAUUCAAACUAAGUGGCAGAAAUGGUCAAUUAUGUUCUAGACGUGGAUGAUGAACAAAUGGAUAUACAGAAGGAUUGAAAUGUCAGUCUGCAGGGGCUUCAUAGGCCCUGGACGUUCUGAUUGGAGGUGUACAACGUCUGAACAGACCAGUGGGAUUGAGAAUUAACCACUGGACAUUUUAAAGUUCUUGUGCCUAUUGGAGGUGCGAUGACCCCAUCUUGGGAUUGAAUGGCUGGUAUGGCGGUACAGGUGUGCCUCAACACUGCAUUGAAAUGCCCCAAUCCAGGUUCUGAUGGGUAUGGCUGUCCAUGGUUCUUGCAACUGGCUCUCUGGGUGAUGUGAUCGGCACUGAUCAAUUCCUUCCAUGGUGUGGCCCAAUUCCAGGGUUUUAAGGUCUUGGUACACCAACCAAAGUGGAUGAGGCCCCUUCUGUACACAAGUGUUUCUCUGGCUUGUCACUUAUUGCCUACUGCUUGCAUCAGGACAUUGUUAGGAGACAUGUUACAGAAUGUGUGAAAUCAUUAGUUCAAUUGUGUGGGACGUUGUCUCAACCUGCAACAAAUGUCCUGCAUUUCAUCAAUAAAUAUUAUUGCAUUGAG